AUCACUGUAUUAGUAAAGUCCACUCUAGUAGUUACAUACUAAGACCACAACUUUAGCUUCCACUUUUGCACUGUGAAAAAUUUGUAAUUUCUCAUAUGACAUGCCAAUGUUGUAUCAUUAAUUGCUGUCAUUUUCAUUGGACCCAAUGAUAUUGAAUGACACAUAUGUACCUUUCCAUUGAUGUAAGUGGCAUACAUUAUAUUUCUUACACAACUCUUCUAUUCUUGCCGAACAAUAAGAGCUCCGCAUCGAAACACGCAUGAUCAAAAUUUGGUACCAGCAGGCAGCAACAAUGCACCAAAAGUCACUAAUGGGGUACUGAAUUAAUUAGUGAAAAUUAAUUGUACUCCUUCUCUUAAUUCUAUUUUACUAAUGAUGUCAUCUCUAUAUUUUGCUGAUGUCUUUUUUAAAAAUACGUUUUUGCCAUAUGAAUUUUUGCAGUUGUAAACAAUGGUUUAGAUGUUAAAAAGUACAAGAGAUUACUCAUUUCUAUUAUCCGAUAAUGCUGAUCUUCUUGCUCUAUCAAAAGGCUAUUUACCUCAUAAAACCUUUAUCGCUAAUUCUGGUGCACUUUCUAUCAUAGCUAAUCUGGUUGUUUAUUUACUAGCUCAGGGCGUAAAUUUAUUAAUUAAGAAAACUUAUUCAAGUUUUUUGGUUAUAUUGAAGAUGCACGAGUAGCUUUGCAACCAAGCAGCAGCAAUCUUUAAGCAAUACUAGAAGAAAGCUGCUAAAUGAUUGUGAAGUACGGAAUCCUCUACCCAGAAGUAGCCAAAUGCAACAGAAGCUAUUAACUCAGAAAUUAGUUUUUGUUAGUAAACAGCCUCAACUAGCAUUAGGAUCCAGGAAACAAGUUGGUAGCAGUAAAGGGACUGGACCUGGUCGGACUUUAGGGCCAAAAGCAGUGCCUCCCAACAGCACGAUAAUAGGGUUUUGACACCAGGUGUCAAGAGCACUAUGCCUACUUUGCAUAAGCCAAUCCCUUCAAAGUUGUAACCUUUUCUUCCGAGCCAAUCGUUGGUACAGAAAAAGGAAACACUACAAGCUGGAAUGUCAAAGGUGAUAUCAAAACAAGUUGAGCCUUCAUCCAAAGCUAAGCUGGUGAUGCAGAAACAGGCAGUGCCAUCGCCCCAUUCUCAGGUUUUACCUUUAUUUUUCAUUGGAUCUGGGGACUUCCAUUUACAAGUCAAGAUGCAAGUUUGAAUACUUUGAACAAGUUGACAAAUUUAUUAUCGGUUUGAUAGGAUUGUCUGGCAAAACCUUUUAUUAUAAACUUAUUCUUUUGGCUGUUGAGUUGUGUAAAUAGUCUUGUGACUAUAUUUUUGUAAACAAUACUGCUUGUGGAAUGUUAAUCCAUACUUUUAAUUAA